UUGUUUUACUACUAAUAAACA
ensembl:piRNA 21ur-8618 ncRNA